UAUUAGCACUCGACACUGUCUAGCUGAUGUAGGCCAAGCUGUGGUUACGUAGAAAAUAUAUUCUCCGUGAAUUGAUAUAUCUGCGAAUCGUGUUUGUAACUAAAUUUAUUCUAGGAAAACACUACUUACUCGGUCUAUAGGGAUUAUUCAGAGUUAUUGUACGUUUAAUGAAUAUAGAUCAGAGAAUAGGGUCCGCCAGUUUUAUGAUAAAGGCUAUCCUAUACCAGUAACUUAGACACUUUUGCGAUAGAGAUUAUAAACAUCUAAAAAUAGUAUCAUGGCAACAGCCGAUGAACUUAAUCGGGGUCGCAUGAAUAACAUCGACCAUUAUGUUUUGCAGAGUAAUAUGCCGUAUCUUUGCGAGCAGAUAAGAGGCGACGUGGUUAUCAUUAAUAUGUUUUCAAAGCAUAUUUUUAACCGUGAUGAUAUGGAUAUGAUUGAAAAGAAGCAGGAGAUCAGUCCGCGCCAAGGGAUAAAGGAAGCGUUAAAAUGUUUGAUGGAAAGCGGUGGUGUCAAUGCAUUUGAUUCCUUUAUCGAUUGCUUACAUACAUCUGGCUUUACGCAUGUGGCAGAAAAGUUAAAACUUGAUCGAAAAGAAAGAACAGACGCGAUGAAUGUGGAAGCAAAACUACCUAAUCCCGAAACCACAGCCCCUACAUAUGACUCAUAAUACAAAAAUAACUGUUCGUGUAUUACAAUAGAUUGUUACAAAUGGCUUGAAAACGUAAUGAAUUAUGUUUCGUGAUCUCAACUAAUUAGUGAACAUUAACCUCUUUGAAUAGACUCAAAAAUGAUCAAUUUUUAUCAAUCUUAUGAAUUCGUUUAUUGCACUCGCCAUUACCUAUCUAUCCAUCUGAAGACUCCAUCGACAACUGUAAUUUUCCGAAUUGUUUAAAGAUUGCGUUACUGUACCUAAAAUAAUAGAAUGCGACAAACUUUGUGUACUGAAUGAGUGCCGUGAUCGUAUAUUUUAUUGCCAGGCAACCUGUAUUAUGACAUGAAACAUUGGGGUGAGACCUGCUUUCUUCUUCCGUAACGUCUGGUGCCAUUUUAACGCGUCAAUGGGGGGCCCCGCGAGCAAAAGGCCUCAUGCUAAUGUAACUUUUAUGUUUUAUACACUGAUUUUGUUGGAAGCACCAAUACAAUUAUAUGUCUAUUCAGGGCAAAUGUUCCAAGGAUCCCCCGCAUUUGCAUACUGCUUUGUUCAGUGCCUGCGCUCAGUUGAUUUUUUAUGAUUAAAGAAAUUUUAAAAUACAAAUAUUUUACUUUCAACACUUUAUCUAAAUAACUAUAUUGAACCAACUUAUUUGUAAAAUCGCUAUGCUUAUUUCCCCAUUUGAUCGGAAAACGCUAGAUCUUGGAAAAAUCAUAAUUCUACCCUUCCUACAUGUUUCUCUUUGAAUAUUUCUGGUAUACACUUAGUUAAUUUGCCGCACCCCGAGAAGUGUCGCUCUGGGCAUAUGCCCCCCUCAUUCCCUCCGAUAUGUGAGGGCCCUGAUGUGAAUGGCUGUGUAGGUAGGGACCCCAAUGCACUGCUUUGCCCGGGGCCUGUAAUCGAAUGCUGAAUUAACAAUCCGAGUACUUAACGAAUUUUUGUGGAGGUUUCUUUUUUAGAAUUCUACAAAUUGAUAUUAGAAUUUAUAAACUUACAUCUUUAGUUUGCGAGAGAACUCUAAUAUAGAAAUCGUGCGCUUGGUAGUCCCCUCCCCCGGCCACCUGGAAAUUCUAUACUAAUAUUUGUGACUGUCGUUUGUCUAUCUGGUUGUCUGUCUGUUCGGGGUUGGCGGCUACACUAGGUCUGCCCCGAGUCUGAAAUUUGGGGCAUAGGCGUAGCUCGGACCGGGGAGUAACAUAGGCCAGGUGGCGUUAGUCUACGACUUCCGGUUUCGGGGUUACGACCUCCGAGCGAAGCCGGGCAUUCUUCUAGUGUAUAUAUAAUUUUGAUUUGAUCUAUUUUGCAAUAAAAUUGUAAUUUUUAUUAUGUGAGAUAUCUAAAGAUAAAAUAUAUUGUUUAGAUGAUAUAACAAUGAAGUUUGUAUGGCAGCCGUGGGUCGCCAAAGUGAUUCAUGUACAUUGUUCGGGUAGCUAACAAUUUCCAUAAAAAAAAUUUUUUAAACGUGUAACCCAUGAAGUAUUGAUAAAUUAAUUUGUAAAUAUCAACUUAAAGAUACAUUAUGUACGAGCUCAAUCUGCCCAUUACAGGUCUUUCUGUUGGCUUAAAAUGUUGUAUAAAUUAUUAUUUAGACCUUUAUUCACAUGACAAGCCCAUAAUCAACUCUCUAGGGCAUUGGAUGGUUAUGAUUUUGAAUGGAUUGAUACACCUUUUAAUAAUUUGUAUUAAAAAUGGAUAGUCGAUACAAUAGAUUUAUUAUCGUUGCAAUGGUUCAUCAAAUUUGAAAUAUUCAAAAUAUACAUUUUUCAUUGUCUAUUUUUGAACUAUUAUAGCAAGAACGGACUUUAUCUAUAUCUUGCAUAAUGCAUCUUUAAUGUCUCAUCUGGAUUCAUUGAUUGGUCUCAAUUAAACGGUAUCAUUAAAUAUAGUCAUUAUCGCAAAUCACAGUGUAAUGCCUUAUAUUAUUCAGUGUGUAAAAUAGGUUUGUAUUCGCCCCCAGAUCUCUCUUUAAAACAUGUCCCUGUGCCCUACGACCACCCAGCUCAAAAAGAUCAACCGCCCGAAACCUCAUUUAAGGAAAUCCACGCGGGAUUUUUUAAAAAUUCCCUUUCAAUGUAUAGACUAGUGAGAUAUUAAACCCCAUUUCAUUUCAAUUUUGAGACCGUAUUUAAUCUCUUAAUAGCUUAAUUAGUCACCCGGUAAUGCCAAGGGUCAUUGCAGAUUUCAUCAUAGCUCGCAAGAUGUAACAUGAUUGUUGACGAGAUUGUGGGUUAGGGUUAGCCCUAGCCCAAAUUCUUGUAACCAUAACCCUAACAUCUCGUGACCUAUAGCGAAAUCGGCAAUGACUUGGCUUUCAGCCUUAAUUGCAUAGCAAGGGUAAAAAAUCGCCAUCUGCCUAACAUCCAGAAUUACUAAAUACUUCACCAAAAUGCACCAUUUAAAAAUUCCUUGUAAAGACACGUUUUAUUUUACAUUUACGUGUAUUUUAAAAUUAACAUCAGUUCAACCGUUUGGUGUUCUACAGCAGACAGACAUACUUUUAUUGAAGUAUUUUGUCGUUUGUUAUGCUCAAUUGUCUUUUUUACUAUUUCAUUUGGAAUUUAGAUUAUUUGGCGUGAAAAUAUUUUUUUAAUAAAGUUGUUUGAAAAUUUC